CAGGGGAAUUGCUUGAAACUGUGAGGCGGAGGUCACGGUGAGCCACGAUAGUGCCACGGCACUCCAGCCCGGGUGACAGAGCGAGACUCUGUCUCAAAA